rnacentral:rRNA from 1 species
AUUGAACGCUGGCGGCAGGCCUAACACAUGCAAGUCGAGCGAGCGGCGGACGGGUGAGUAAUGUAUGGGGACUGCCCGAUAGAGGGGGAUAACUACUGGAAACGGUAGCUAAUACCGCAUACUAUCGGAUAACCCAUAUGGGAUUAGCUAGUAGGUGCGGUAAUGGCUGACAUAGGCGACGAUCCCUAGCUGGUCUGAGAGGAUGCUCAGCCACAGUGGGACUGCUGAACGGCCCAGACUCCGACGGAGGCAGCCGUGGGGAAUUUUGCACAAUGGGCGAAAGCCUGAUGCAUCGCUGCCGCGUGUAUGAGGAAGGCCCUAUGGUUGUAAAGUACUUACAGUCGGGAGGCGUUACCGACAGAAGAAGCACCGGCUAACUCCGUGCCAGCAGCCGCGGUAAUUC